AGUGGAUGAAAUAUAAACAAAUGAUAGGGGCUUCCAAUACUAUCCAGUUUACUUGCAAUCUUGAACGAGCAAUUAACAUGUGGUUAUGUUGCGUUGUUCCCCAUUGUCAUCUCAGAUCACUGGGACAGGGCUGUUUUCUUUUCACUUGUUAUUUCACUUGUGAUGAUGACAACAUCAAAUCCUCUUCUUUUUACGAAAUUGGAUUCAGAACAUGUCAUUGUGCAACCCAUGGGGGUCCUAUCUCGUGCUAGAACAGGUGCAACAGGUGCUGAUAUUAAUAUUUCAUGUGAAUUCUUUCUGGAAUGGUGGGAUUGUCUUGGAAAGAUGCAUUCUGACCACAAAGUCCCUGUUGAAGCAUGUGGAGUACACGUAAUAUAUGACUCGGAGUCGGAGCCUGGGUCGGGUCAAAAAGAAAGAGGGUUGCAGAUAUAGGCGUUGAAGAUGGAGUCCCUCCCGCGAAGCGACUCAACAAUUCUUGGAUCUCUCAACCUACUCCCCUAGGACUGGCGUUGCAGUUGGGGUUACUUCAUCUGUCACCCACUGCAACUCAAAUUUAUGCGCAAGAAGAAAUAAGAGGACCCUUUGCAACUCAAGUUAAAUAUAAAUUCUGACAUGCUCCGGGGAUGAGUACAUUGGAUGUAACCAGAGCAAAACUUGGCCUUUUGGUUUUAUAUUUGAACAAGGCUGAAGCCAGAAAUGAAAAUACGCAGCGCAAACGGUAUGGUUUCGACUUUCUAAGUGUAUGGCCAACCUGUUACUGCUCAGAAUGUAAAGUUACUCUGUUUUAAUGUUAAGUAAGCCAUAUAUAACAUUGAAGUCCUUGGAAGAUGUAUGUUCCGUCAAUUUAGUUUUUAGAACUUGAUUAACGUCAUUUAACUCCCGACAGCUUUUAAUGCAUCAAUUAUAUCAUCUUCAACUUUGUUGAUGGUAAAAUCAUAUUUUUGGGGUUUCAGGGGAUGCAAAUCGCAGUUUACUCAGAAAAUUGAAUUCAAGUUUUAACAGAUAUUUUUCUUGUACACUCUUGCAGGGUUUAUGUGAUGAUUCCGUUAUUAAUUUAUUGAGAUUUAAGUUGGAAAUAUUUCUCUUUUUUGAGUUGACAUUUUAUGCAAUGCAGGUGCUUCCUACCUUAAGCUUGCAGGAGGGCUUUUUGAUGAUCAGUGAGGUGUCUUUGACAUGUCCAUCAUAUUGUAUUAUGGCCAUUUGAGGAAGACAAAGCAAAAAUAAUGCCUGUUUACUUUUUCUUCAAGUUGUUUGAACCUUUGAUAUUAUUGAUGCGGAUCCAAAUGGA